rnacentral:lncRNA from 1 species
CAGGGCCUCUUGGAGGUUGGCUACCUCAGCAACCUUUUCUUGGAGGCGGGCGACUUUGGUCCGACGACGCUCCUCCGCCUGGAUGGCAUCCCAUCUCACCCGGUUCGUCGCCUCGAUGUUGGCGAGAAACUGGUGCCCGAUCUGCAAGGGUGGCCAGGAGGUCAGAAUAGGAGUUGGAGAAUUAAUUAAACAAAGGUGCGAAAGGAAGGAGGGAGG